AGAGUUUGAUCAUGGCUCAGGACGAACGCUGGCGGCGUGCCUAAUACAUGCAAGUAGAACGCUGAAGAGAGGAGCUUGCUCUUCUUGGAUGAGUUGCGAACGGGUGAGUAACGCGUAGGUAACCUGCCUUGUAGCGGGGGAUAACUAUUGGAAACGAUAGCUAAUACCGCAUAACAAUGGAUGACCCAUGUCAUUUAUUUGAAAGGGGCAAAUGCUCCACUACAAGAUGGACCUGCGUUGUAUUAGCUAGUAGAUGAGGUAACGGCUCACCUAGGCGACGAUACAUAGCCGACCUGAGAGGGUGAUCGGCCACACUGGGACUGAGACACGGCCCAGACUCCUACGGGAGGCAGCAGUAGGGAAUCUUCGGCAAUGGGGGCAACCCUGACCGAGCAACGCCGCGUGAGUGAAGAAGGUUUUCGGAUCGUAAAGCUCUGUUGUAAGUCAAGAACGAGUGUGAGAGUGGAAAGUUCACACUGUGACGGUAGCUUACCAGAAAGGGACGGCUAACUACGUGCCAGCAGCCGCGGUAAUACGUAGGUCCCGAGCGUUGUCCGGAUUUAUUGGGCGUAAAGCGAGCGCAGGCGGUUUGAUAAGUCUGAAGUUAAAGGCUGUGGCUCAACCAUAGUUCGCUUUGGAAACUGUCAAACUUGAGUGCAGAAGGGGAGAGUGGAAUUCCAUGUGUAGCGGUGAAAUGCGUAGAUAUAUGGAGGAACACCGGUGGCGAAAGCGGCUCUCUGGUCUGUAACUGACGCUGAGGCUCGAAAGCGUGGGGAGCGAACAGGAUUAGAUACCCUGGUAGUCCACGCCGUAAACGAUGAGUGCUAGGUGUUGGAUCCUUUCCGGGAUUCAGUGCCGCAGCUAACGCAUUAAGCACUCCGCCUGGGGAGUACGACCGCAAGGUUGAAACUCAAAGGAAUUGACGGGGGCCCGCACAAGCGGUGGAGCAUGUGGUUUAAUUCGAAGCAACGCGAAGAACCUUACCAGGUCUUGACAUCCCGAUGCUAUUUCUAGAGAUAGAAAGUUACUUCGGUACAUCGGUGACAGGUGGUGCAUGGUUGUCGUCAGCUCGUGUCGUGAGAUGUUGGGUUAAGUCCCGCAACGAGCGCAGCCCCUAUUGUUAGUUGCCAUCAUUCAGUUGGGCACUCUAGCGAGACUGCCGGUAAUAAACCGGAGGAAGGUGGGGAUGACGUCAAAUCAUCAUGCCCCUUAUGACCUGGGCUACACACGUGCUACAAUGGUUGGUACAACGAGUUGCGAGUCGGUGACGGCAAGCUAAUCUCUUAAAGCCAAUCUCAGUUCGGAUUGUAGGCUGCAACUCGCCUACAUGAAGUCGGAAUCGCUAGUGAUCGCGGAUCAGCACGCCGCGGUGAAUACGUUCCCGGGCCUUGUACACACCGCCCGUCACACCACGAGAGUUUGUAACACCCGAAGUCGGUGAGGUAACCUUUUGGAGCCAGCCGCCUAAGGUGGGAUAGGUGAUUGGGGUGAAGUCGUAACAAGGUA
rnacentral:rRNA from 1 species